rnacentral:rRNA from 1 species
GAUGAACGCUGGCGGCGUGCCUAAUACAUGCAAGUCGAGCGAACAGACGAGGAGCUUGCUCCUCUGACGUUAGCGGCGGACGGGUGAGUAACACGUGGAUAACCUACCUAUAAGACUGGGAUAACUUCGGGAAACCGGAGCUAAUACCGGAUAAUAUAUUGAACCGCAUGGUUCAAUAGUGAAAGACGGUUUUGCUGUCACUUAUAGAUGGAUCCGCGUCGCAUUAGCUAGUUGGUACGGUAACGGCUUACCAAGGCAACGAUACGUAGCCGACCUGUGAGGGUGAUCGGCCACACUGGAACUGAGACACGGUCCAGACUCCUACGGGAGGCAGCAGUAGGGAAUCUUCCGCAAUGGGCGAAAGCCUGACGGAGCAACGCCGCGUGAGUGAUGAAGGUCUUCGGAUCGUAAAACUCUGUUAUUAGGGAAGAACAAAUGUGUAAGUAACUAUGCACGUCUUGACGGUACCUAAUCAGAAAGCCACGGCUAACUACGUG